rnacentral:misc_RNA from 1 species
UCUCCGUUGGUGAACCAGCGGAGGGAUCAUUACCGAGUUUACAACUCCCAAACCCCAUGUGAACUACACCAUAUUUUGCUUCGGCGGGAUGCCCCGGGCGCGGGAAGCAAGGCCCCCGCCACGGAACCACGAGCCCCCGGGUGGAUCAAUACAUAUUGAUGUUUUUGUAAAAUCAUUCGAGUGUCCUAUCAAGCAAAAAAUGAAUCAAAACUUCCAACAACGAAGCGCUUGGUUCUGGCAUCGAACAAGAAAGCAGCAGAUCGUAAGAGCACACUCCUG